rnacentral:rRNA from 1 species
GUGCCAGCCGCCGCGGUAAGACGAACCGUCCAACCGUUAUUCGGAAUUAUUGGGCGUAAAGCGCGUGUAGGCGGCUGAGCAAGUCAGAUGUGAAAGCCCCGGGCUUAACCCGGGAAGGGCAUUUGAAACUGUUCGGCUUGAGUAGGGGAGAGGAAAGUGGAAUUCCUGGUGUAGAGGUGAAAUUCGUAGAUAUCAGGAGGAACACCGGCGGCGAAGGCGACUUUCUGGCCCUAUACUGACGCUGAGACGCGAGAGCGUGGGUAGCAAACAGGAUUAGAUACCCUGGUAGUCCACGCCGUAAACGAUGUUCACUAGGUGUUGGGGGUAUUGACCCUCUCAGUGCCGCAGCUAACGCAUUAAGUGAACCGCCUGGGGAGUACGGUCGCAAGAUUAAAACUCAAAUGAAUUGGCGG